rnacentral:rRNA from 1 species
UACGUAGGGUGCGAGCGUUUGUCCGGAUUUAUUGGGCGUAAAGAGCUUGUAGGCGGUUUGUCGCGUCUGCUGUGAAAAUCCGGGGCUCAACCCCGGACUUGCAGUGGGUACGGGCAGACUAGAGUGUGGUAGGGGAGACUGGAAUUCCUGGUGUAGCGGUGAAAUGCGCAGAUAAUCAGGAGGAACACCGAUGGCGAAGGCAGGUCUCCUGGGCCACUACUGACGCUGAGAAGCGAAAGCAUGGGGGAGCG